rnacentral:rRNA from 1 species
CGAACGCUGGCGGCGUGCCUACUACAUGCAAGUUGAGCGCUGAAGGUUGGUACUUGUACCAACUGGAUGAGCAGCGAACGGGUGAGUAACGCGUGGGGAAUCUGCCUUUGAGCGGGGGACAACAUUUGGAAACGAAUGCUAAUACCGCAUAAAAACUUUAAACACAAGUUUUAAGUUUGAAAGAUGCAAUUGCAUCACUCAAAGACGAUCCCGCGUUGUAUUAGCUAGUUGGUGAGGUAAAGGCUCACCAAGGCGAUGAUACAUAGCCGACCUGAGAGGGUGAUCGGCCACAUUGGGACUGAGACACGGCCCAAACUCCUACGGGAGGCAGCAGUAGGGAAUCUUCGGCAAUGGACGAAAGUCUGACCGAGCAACGCCGCGUGAGUGAAGAAGGUUUUCGGAUCGUAAAGCUCUGUUGGUAGAGAAGAACGUUGGUGAGAGUGGAAAGCUCAUCAAGUGACGGUAACUACCCAGAAAGGGACGGCUAACUACGUG